AAAAACGCCCUUUUCAGGGCGACAAAAGUAUUAAGUAAAGAGUUU
rfam:Lutzomyia longipalpis Contig35371, whole genome shotgun sequence.